UCAGGUCCAUGUCAGAACAAUUGCACAGUGCACCAUGAUGCUUGCCACUGUAUCCACAGGGAAAUGGGACAAGUACCCAAGGACAAGAGAUGGUGAGGACACCUGAGAAGACCGUAUGUGACCUGUCUCCUCCCACCCCCAUCAAACAGCAUGCUCCUGCUCCAGUUUCACAGUUCGCAUCCAAAUUUAACAGUUCAGAGAAGAGUUGAGUUUCUGCAGCUGCUGGAGCACACUGGAAUAUCACAUUAAAACAGCUUCCCAGGAGUGAGCAGAUUUCAUUUUUAGGUAAUCUCUACAAACAACAUGGGGCUCGAACUCACAACCCCAAGAUCAACAGUCGCAUGCUCCACCAAUUAAGCCAGUCAAGUUCCUGCUAGAUACAGUAUGUUGUGUUUGUUCCAUCCUCUUCUUCCUAACCUUAAAUGGGUCAAAUCUUCCAGAGCUCCCUUUUACCUAAUGAAUAAAAGCCAAACUGCUUAGACUGACAUAUAAAAUUCACCUCACCCUAGCCAGUCUUUCUCCUUUUAUUUUUAUUCCUUUUGCUUUGAAAGUUAUUAUGAGAAAAAUAGCAGUUAAUCACAUUAGCUACAUUAUAUUUAGCAAAAUACUAUGCAUAUUUUGCUAUUCUCUUGCUUAUUGUUUCUGUAAGUCACGCCUCUGCUGAAGGCCAGAUAGAGAGUAUGACUAAGCCCAUAGAAGAGCCAGGCUGGGAAAGGAUGGCUAAAGUCCUGCAAAAACCCAUGGUCAGAAAUUGACCCAAUAGGUUGAUGACCAAGACAGCUGAGAGAUCUGAAAUGGUUCAGGGCCAGGAUAUGAUGGUAGUGCUGAGAGGUAGGGGAAUGUCACAAGAAGUCAGUAGCUAAGCCAGAACUGAGAAAUGAGUAUGGGUCCCAGAAGUAAAACCUUAGGGAAUUAAAUAUAAAGGUAUGAAGAUAAUGGGGUGUUAAUGGACUGAAUUGUGUCUUCCCCAAAAUUUACAUGUUGAAGCCCUAAUCCCUAAUGUGAUUGAAUUUGGAGAUAGAGCCUUUAAAGAGGUAAUUCAGGUGAAAUGAGGUUUUAAAGAUGGAGCUCUAAUCUAAUAUGACUGGUAUCCUUUUAAAUAUUAUUUAUUUAUUUGGGUGAGGGGGUUGCAGAGAGAGAGGGAGAGAGAGAAUCCCAAGCUGUCAAUGUGGAGCCUGAUAUGGGGCUCAAUCCCAUGAAUUGUGAGACCAUGACCUGAGCCAAAAUCAAGAGUCCUUAACCAACUGAGCCACCCAGGAGCCCCUGGUGUCCUUUUUUUUUUUAAUUUGUUUAAUGUUUAUUAUUUGAGACAGAGAGAGAGAGACAGAGAGCAAGCAGAAGAGGGGCAGAGAGAGAGGGAGACACAGAAUCGGAAGCAGGCUCCAGGCUCUGAAGUGCCAGCAAAGAGCCCUACACAGGCCUCGAACCCACAGAUCAUGAGAUCAUGACCUGAGCUGAAGUCGGACACUUAACCAACUGAGCCACCCAGGUACCCCCUUGAUGUCCUUUUAAAAAAAGGAAGAGUCACCAGGAUUGUGUGAGCAUAAAGAAAAAUCCAUGUGAGGACACCAAUGAGAAGAUAGCCAUCGAUAAGCCAAAGGGAGAAGCCUCAGAAGAAACCACCCCAGUGAGUACCUUGAUCCUGGACUUGCAGCCUCCAGAACUGUGAGAAAAUAAAUUUUUGUUAGGUAAGUAAGCCACCCAGUCUGUGCCAUUUUGUUACGAUAGCCUUAGCAAACUAAUACAUGGAAGGAGGAAGGUCCUACAGGCCAGGUCCUGAACAAAAUAAUUAUUGAAACUCUGCUUUCACUGCACUUCCUACCUUCAUCCAUACUCACUUCCUACCUGGAGCUCUCCACUACUCCACAGGAAUCAUGCUCCUUUCUGACAAUGAAUGCAUGUCCUGUGUCUUAGACUGCUAAUAGUCAGGAACUGUAUUUCUCUCACAUU